AUUGAACGCUGGCGGCAUGCCUUACACAUGCAAGUCGAACGGUAACGCGGGGGCAACCCUGGCGACGAGUGGCGAACGGGUGAGUAGCGCAUCGGAACGUGCCCAGCGGUGGGGGAUAGCCCGGCGAAAGCCGGAUUAAUACCGCAUACGACCUACGGGUGAAAGCGGGGGACCGCAAGGCCUCGCGCUAUUGCAGCGGCCGAUGCCCGAUUAGCUAGUUGGGGAGGUAAAGGCUCACCAAGGAGACGAUCGGUAGCUGGUCUGAGAGGACGACCAGCCACACUGGGACUGAGACACGGCCCAGACUCCUACGGGAGGCAGCAGUGGGGAAUUUUGGACAAUGGGGGAAACCCUGAUCCAGCCAUGCCGCGUGCGGGAAGAAGGCCUUCGGGUUGUAAACCGCUUUUGGCAGGAACGAAACGGCGCGCGCCAAUACCGCGCGCUAAUGACGGUACCUGCAGAAUAAGCACCGGCUAACUACGUGCCAGCAGCCGCCGCAGUAA
rnacentral:rRNA from 1 species